AACGAACGCUGGCGGCAUGCCUAACACAUGCCAGUCGAACGAAGGCUUCGGCCUUAGUGGCGCACGGGUGCGUAACGCGUGGGAAUCUGCCCUUUUGUUCGGAAUAACAGCUGGAAACGGCUGCUAAUACCGGAUGAUGACGAAAGUCCAAAGAUUUAUCGCCAGAGGAUGAGCGCGCGUUGGAUUAGGUAGUUGGUGGGGUAAAGGCCUGCCAAGCCGACGAUCCAUAGCUGGUCUGAGAGGAAGAUCAGCCACACUGGGACUAAGACGCGGCCCAGACUCCUACGGGAUGGAGGAGUGGGGAAUAUAGGAAAGUGGGGGGAAGGAUGAUGCAGCAAUGACGGGUGAGUGAUGAAGGCCGUAGGGUUGUAAAGCGCUUGUAACCGGGAAGAUAAUGACGGUACCGGGAGAAUAAGCCCCGGCUAACUACGUG
rnacentral:rRNA from 1 species